GACAGAGGAGCCAAGCGUUGUCCGGAUUGACUGGGCGUAAAGCGCACGCAGGCGGGUGCGCGCGUGGGGUGUGAAAUCUGGCCGCUUAACGGCCAGGCGCCAUCCCAUACGGCGCGCCUGGAGCCUUGCAGAGGGCGGUGGAAUUGCCGGUGUAGUGGUGAAAUGCGUAGAGAUCGGCAGGAACACCCAGGGGGAAACCAGCCGCCUGGGCAGCAGCCUCGACGCUGAGGUGCGAGAGCGUGGGGAGCGAACCGGAUUAGAAACCCCUCGGUAG
rnacentral:rRNA from 1 species